rnacentral:rRNA from 1 species
CCUACGGGAGGCAGCAGUAGGGAAUUUUCGUCAAUGGGCGCAAGCCUGAACGCGCGAUGCCGCGUGAGUGAAGAAGGCCUUCGGGUCGUAAAGCUCUGUUGCGGGGGAAAAAAGGCAGCAUCAGGAAAUGGGUGCUGACUGAUGGUGCCCCGCCAGAAAGUCACGGCUAACUACGUGCCAGCAGCCGCGGUAAUACGUAGGUGGCGAGCGUUAUCCGGAAGGAUUGGGCGUAAAGGGUGCGCAGGCGGUCCUGCAAGUCUGGAGUGAAACGCAUGAGCUCAACUCAUGCAUGGCUUUGGAAACUGGAGGACUGGAGAGCAGGAGAGGGCGGUGGAACUCCAUGUGUAGCGGUAAAAUGCGUAGAUAGAUGGAAGAACACCAGUGGCGAAGGCGGCCGCCUGGCCUGUUGCUGACGCUGAGGCACGAAAGCGUGGGGAGCAAAUAGGAUUAGAUACCCUUGUAGUC